AUGAACGCUGACAGAAUGCUUAACACAUGCAAGUCGAUGGGGAAGUGGUGCUUGCACCAUGGCAACCAUGGCGGACGGGUGAGUAACGCGUAAGGGACUUACCUGCAGGACUGGGAUAACAGGGGGAAACUCCUGACAAGACCGGAUAAUGUCAUGGAGCUGCAUGGCUUUAUGAUGAAAGGAGACGCCUGCGGAGAGCCUUGCGUCCUAUUAGCUAGUUGGUGAGGUAAUGGCUCACCAAGGCGAAGAUAGGUAGCCGGCCUGAGAGGGUGGACGGCCACAAGGAGACUGAGAUACGGCCCAUACUCCGACGGGAGGCAACAGUGGAGAAUAUUGGACAAUGGGGGCAACCCUGAUACAGCAGUUCUGUGUGAAUGAAGAAGGUUUUCGGAUUGUAAAGUGCUUUCAGCAGGGAAGAAGUAAGUGACGGUACCUGCAGAAGAAGCGACGGCUAAAUACGUG
rnacentral:rRNA from 1 species